CAUGAAGGAGUCUAAGCAGGGAAUGUGAUCUGAUUUACAUUUAGUAAGAUAUAUUUGACACUGUUGUGCAAAAUAGAGUAUUAAGAGAAAUAUUGGAAGCAGACCAGUUAGGAGGCAGCUUCCCAGCCUCUAGGAGGAAGUCCUCACUCCACUCACCAGGAUUUACAGGGUCUCUUGUGUUCUGACCUUAAGAACUGUCCAGGGUUCUCUCAUCAUUCCCCCUUCCACCCGCUCGUCAGC
rnacentral:lncRNA from 10 species